CUAUACAUGCAGUCGAGCGAGGGUCUUCGGACCCUAGCGGCGGACGGGUGAGUAACACGUAGGCAACCUGCCCAUAAGACUGGGAUAACAUAGGGAAACUUAUGCUAAUACCGGAUAGAGUCUUCUCCCGCAUGAGAGGAGACGGAAAGGUGGCGCAAGCUACCACUUAUGGAUGGGCCUGCGGCGCAUUAGCUAGUUGGUGGGGUAACGGCCCACCAAGGCGACGAUGCGUAGCCAACCUGAGAGGGUGACCGGCCACACUGGGACUGAGACACGGCCCAAACUCCUACGGGAGGCAGCAGUAGGGAAUUUUCCACAAUGGACGAAAGUCUGAUGGAGCAACGCCGCGUGAACGAUGAAGGUCUUCGGAUUGUAAAGUUCUGUUGUCAGGGACGAACAAGUACCGUUCGAAUAGGGCGGUACCUUGACGGUACCUGACGAGAAAGCCACGGCUAACUACGUGCCAGCAACACAC
rnacentral:rRNA from 1 species